rnacentral:lncRNA from 1 species
AUGACCCCAAUCCCCCUCAGCCCCUUCCCACCUUCCCACUGCGCAUGCUCCCCCUCCCGCUGCACCCGGCCCCUUUCCCGCCAAAACUCCUUUUGCACACGAGCCGCUCAGCCCUCCCUCUUGCCCUCCGCGCAUGCGCGCCCAGGCCCCGCCCCCCGGCCGCUCUAUAAAUAUCGCCGCGCGCAGCCCCUCGCUCUCUUUCCACGGCGGGGGGCGAGGGAUGCGGAAGGUGAGCGGAGCGCGGCCUUAUCUUCAUCUCAUUUUUUUUUUCUCUCUACUAUUUUUUCCUCAUUUCUUGUCUUUUUCCUCUUCUCCUCGCUGUGCCGUAUGGAGCCGGUGACCUUCAUGAGGGUGGUGCUGCUCACAGCCAGCCCGGGGCCCACCGCGGCCUACCUGCGGCCUGAGGGGGGCAGGGGGAUACCCCGGGGUGGGGGGGGGCAGCGCCGCCUCUCACCGCCUCCUCUCCUUUCCCACAGGUUUGUUCCUGAUGCUCGGGCCGGCUUCGCCCAGCUUGCUCCACCAUUGAAAAGUUCGAUGUUUGUGGAGCACCGCUUUGGGAGUGUCUGCAACAAGGAAAAAGGCUUGUGAGUGCUACUAACAGCAGCCUGCGUACCCCGUGAGGGUGAGAGUUCAGAGCGGGCUGGAAAUGGGAGAAAGAGCCUACACGUGGUGACCUCAGAGCACAUGCUUCGUGCUGGGGGCCUGCAGUGACCUCCAGAGCACCCAGAGGCUGCAGGGGGUUGUGUGGCUGCUGUGUGAGGUGUCAUGUGAAGGAAAGCAGGGGCUGAACCCCUGUGGGCGAGCUGCACCCUGAGGAACAUGUGUGAAGAGCUGGGGGCUCUGGUGGGUUGCCGUGCCUCAUCUGCACCAGCUGGGGGGAGCACGUGGCUGAGCACCACCUGAAAAGGAGCCCAAGAAGAAAAAUGGGGCACUGGGAGCUGUUGUGGCUGUGGGGGAGGCUG